rnacentral:rRNA from 1 species
UUAUGGCUCAGGAUGAACGCUGGCGGCGUGCUUAACACAUGCAAGUUGCGCGGUGAUCUCAAGAAGUUUCGGACGGAAAGGGAGAGCAGCAGCGGACGGGUGAGUAAAGCACAAGGACUUGUCCCGAAGAGGGGGACAACUGUGGGAAACCACAGCUAAUACCCCAUAAGCCGAGAGGUGAAAGCAGCGAUGCGCUUUAGGAGAGACUUGUGUCCUAUCAGGUAGUUGGUGAGGUAACGGCUCACCAAGCCGAAGACGGGUAGCCGGACUGAGAGGUUGUACGGCCACAUUGGAACUGAGAGACGGUCCAGACUCCUACGGGAGGCAGCAGUGGGGAAUAUUGCACAAUGGGGGAAACCCUGAUGCAAGCAACGCCGCGUGAGUGAUGACGGCCUUCGGGUUGUAAAGCUCUGUCUUCAGGGACGAUAAUGACGGUACCUGAGGAGGAAGCCACGGCUAACUACGUGCCAGCCGCUGC